rnacentral:RNase_P_RNA from 1 species
AGGGUCAACCAGACGGCCGCGACAGAUGUCGAGGAACGUCCGGGCUCCACAGAGCGCGAUGGUGGGUAACGCCCACCCGAGGAAACUCGAGAGACAGUGCAACAGAAAGUAAACCGCCCGCAAGGGUAAGGGUGAAACGGUGGUGUAAGAGACCACCAGCAGAUCAGGUGACUGGUCUGGCUAUGUAAACCUCAUCGGGAGCAAGACCAAGCAGAAGGUGCUACAGCUGCUCGCUUAGCCUUCGGGUAGGUCGCUAGAGCCUGCGGGUAACUGCAGGCCGAGAUAGAUGGCCGUCAGUGCUUCGGCACUACAGAACCCGGCGUAUCGGUUGACCCUCUAC